rnacentral:rRNA from 1 species
AUACGCUAUGUACAUGCAUGUCGAGCGAACAGACGAGUGAGACUGUGUCAUGCCUGCUAUACGUUAGCGGCGGACGGGUGAGUAACACGUGGAUAACCUACCUAUAAGACUGGGAUAACUUCGGGAAACCGGAGCUAAUACCGGAUAAUAUAUUGAACCGCAUGGUUCAAUAGUGAAAGACGGUUUUGCUGUCACUUAUAGAUGGAUCCGCGCCGCAUUAGCUAGUUGGUAAGGUAACGGCUUACCAAGGCAACGAUGCGUAGCCGACCUGAGAGGGUGAUCGGCCACACUGGAACUGAGACACGGUCCAGACUCCUACGGGAGGCAGCAGUAGGGAAUCUUCCGCAAUGGGCGAAAGCCUGACGGAGCAACGCCGCGUGAGUGAUGAAGGUCUUCGGAUCGUAAAACUCUGUUAUUAGGGAAGAACAAAUGUGUAAGUAACUAUGCACGUCUUGACGGUACCUAAUCAGAAAGCCACGGCUAACUACGUGCCAGCAGCCGCGGUAAUACGUAGGUGGCAAGCGUUAUCCGGAAUUAUUGGGCGUAAAGCGCGCGUAGGCGGUUUUUUAAGUCUGAUGUGAAAGCCCACGGCUCAACCGUGGAGGGUCAUUGGAAACUGGAAAACUUGAGUGCAGAAGAGGAAGUGGAAUUCCAUGUGUAGCGGUGAAAUGCGCAGAGAUAUGGAGGAACACCAGUGGCGAAGGCGACUUUCUGGUCUGUAACUGACGCUGAUGUGCGAAAGCGUGGGGAUCAAACAGGAUUAGAUACCCUGGUAGUCCACGCCGUAAACGAUGAGUGCUAAGUGUUAGGGGGGUUUCCGCCCUCUUAGUGCUGCAGCUAACGCAUUUAAGCACUCCGGCCUGGGGAGUACGACCGCAAGGUUGAAACUCAAAGGAAUUUGACGGGGACCCGCACAAGCGGUUGGAGCAUGUGUUUUAUUCGAAAGCAACGCGAAGAACUUACUAAUCUGACAUCUCUGAACUCUCUAGAGAUAGAGUUUCCGUCCGGGGACAGAGUGACAGGUGAUGCAUGGAUGUCGUUCAGCCUCGAUCUGGAAUGUUGGAUUAGGUUAGCACCGGAGGCGGCA